rnacentral:rRNA from 1 species
CAGCUCCAAUAGCGUAUAUUAUGGUUGUUGCAGUUAAAAAGCUCGUAGUUGAACUUCAGACCUGGCUGGGCGGUCUGCCUAACGGUAUGUACUGUCCGGCUGGGUCUUACCUCUUGGUGAGCCGGCAUGCCCUUCACUGGGUGUGUCGGGGAACCAGGACUUUUACCUUGAGAAAAUUAGAGUGUUCAAAGCAGGCUUAUGCCCGAAUACAUUAGCAUGGAAUAAUAAAAUAGGACGUGCGGUUCUAUUUUGUUGGUUUCUAGAGUCGCCGUAAUGAUUAAUAGGGAUAGUUGGGGGCAUUAGUAUUCCGUUGCUAGAGGUGAAAUUCUUGGAUUUACGGAAGACUAACUAUUGCGAAAGCAUUUGCCAAGGAUGUUUUCAUUAAUCAAGAACGAAGGUUAGGGGAUCGAAAACGAUCAGAUACCGUUGUAGUCUUAACAGUAAACUAUGCCGACUAGGGAUCGGGCGA